AUUGAACGCUGGCGGCAUGCCUUACACAUGCAAGUCGAACGGUAACGGGCCUUCGGGUGCCGACGAGUGGCGAACGGGUGAGUAAUACAUCGGAACGUGCCCGAUCGUGGGGGAUAACGAGGCGAAAGCUUUGCUAAUACCGCAUACGAUCUACGGAUGAAAGCAGGGGACCGCAAGGCCUUGCGCGGACGGAGCGGCCGAUGGCAGCUUAGGUAGUUGGUGGGAUAAAAGCUUACCAAGCCGACGAUCUGUAGCUGGUCUGAGAGGAUGAUCAGCCACACUGGGACUGGGACACGGCCCAGACUCCUACGGGAGGCAGCAGUGGGGAAUUUUGGACAAUGGGCGCAAGCCUGAUCCAGCCAUGCCGCGUGCAGGAUGAAGGCCUUCGGGUUGUAAACUGCUUUUGUACGGAACGAAAAGCCUUCUUUUAAUACAGGAGGGUCAUGACGGUACCGUAAGAAUAAGCACCGGCUAACUACGUG
rnacentral:rRNA from 1 species